CCAGCAGCCGCGGUAAUUCCAGCUCCAAUAGCGUAUAUUAAAGUUGUUGCAGUUAAAAAGCUCGUAGUUGGAUUUGUGGUUUGUGGUGGGUUCCGGGCACUUGUUGUCUGAGUAACUCGCCGCUGCCAUCCUUGGGUGGAACCUGUGUGGCAUUAGGUUGUCGUGCAGGGUGCAGGGGAUGCCCAUCGUUUACUGUGAAAAAAUUAGAGUGUUCAAAGCAGGCUUACGCCGUUGAAUAUAUUAGCAUGGAAUAAUAAGAUAGGACUUUGUUGCUAUUUUGUUGGUUUGCGCAACGAGGUAAUGAUUAAUAGGGACAGUUGGGGGUAUUCGUAUUCCAUUGUCAGAGGUGAAAUUCUUGGAUUU
rnacentral:rRNA from 1 species